rnacentral:ncRNA from 1 species
CGUCCAUCAGCAGAGUACCACGUAACUAAAAUUCCAACUCUUCAGCUACUAAUUGAAGGUGUGGUAAAACACACUGGAGGAUCGAACCAGUUAAUGUUGCAACAUUAUUGGAUGAGUUGUGAUUAGGGGUGAAAGGCCAAUCAAACUUGGAAAUAGCUGGUUCUCCGCGAAAUCUAUUUAGGUAGAGCGUUGUAUGUAUGUUAUUGGGGGUAGAGCACUGGAUAGACUAGGGGGACUCACCGACUUACCAAAUCUAACUAAACUCCGAAUACCAAUAAUUAAUUAUACAACAGACAGGGACCUGGAAACAUCAUGUAGACGGUGAAGUGGAACCCUUUCAAGUAGUUAAAAACAUUGUUUUUACGAACUAAACUAUAAUCUGGACGAACGGUUUUCACCUGCAGAGUAGAUACCAACGCCGUUUGACG